UACAAGCAUCAAUAGUCACAUCAGCUAUAGCCAUCGCAGCACUUGAUAAGGUCAUCCACAUAAGCGCAAAAUAAAGGUGCAGAUUACCAUGAAGCGAAAUGAACAGCAUAGAGACCACUCCAAGGACCCCUGCCAAAAUGAAGUAAGGGCGUCUAUGGUAGCCAAAGAUGGGAAGAACGUCGGUGAGAAUGCCCCAAAGAGGUUUGAUGAUCCAUGGGAUCUUGGUGAUUGCGGUGAGAGCUUGAGACUCAGAGGGCUGAACUUUUUGAACGUCUUUCAUGUAGUACUCUGUUGCUACACGCCCCAUUGAGCCGCCGAGGCCUUGGUUUAUACCGUAGAGUGAGACCACGCCGAAGACAAAGCUCCAGUGAAGCUCUUUGGACAGCAUCUUUAUCCAUCGGACUGGACCACAUAUUACAUUACGGAAACGACUUUCUCCUUUGUCCACGUGGAUGGAUCCGCUGUUCUCGAGGCUUUGGUCUUCUGCUACCAUAACUAGAUUCAAGAUUUGAGGCUUUUGAUGUGGGUUUGGUCUGAAACUGUGGGAAAACAGAUCCAGAACCAGAGUUGACUGAAGUGGAUGUUCUUUGGAUUGGGUUGAGCUCAGAGAAAAAGCAAAUCUAUGCCAAAAUGAUGGGAUCUUUUGAUGUUAGCAAGUCAGAAAACAGAGAUUUGAGAAUCAAAAAUAUUAUAUCUUAGAAAACAAGAAUGAACUUUGCAAACAGGAAGCUCCGUUGACUUGAUUUCAUAUGAACAACAAAUGCUCAUUGAGGAAGAAGAAGAAGAUGGAAAGAAAAUAAAAUGAUUAAAGAAAUGAAACACAGAUGAGAGCGACCUAAGACAUCUCUUACUAAAUGUUGACGAAAUACAUCUCUUACUAAGAACAUUCUGUCUAUUUUCAACUGUGUAUUUUCCAGUUUCACCUCGAAUAUAGAAACUAUACAUUUUUUAUUUAUUAAACUAUUUAUUCACUUCGAAAAGUAUUUUUUUAGUUUUUUUUUCCAUCUGAUAGAUUAUAUUAAAACUGGUGAAAUACAGUCGAGUACACAUAAGCCGGCAAGAAACACUCUUCUUCCGGAGCCACAAGCCGGCAAAGAUCGAAAUCUUUCCAGAGUCAUAAAAGAAAACUACUAGAUAUCUAAGAAAAAAGAUGACCAGAAGUUCAAACAUAAGCCAAAAGUCGAGACAAAGGUGAGGGAGUAGACGUGAUGAUUGCACUCCAAGGUGAAGAGCACAUCGAUCUCCAGAAGAAGGAUAGAAACAGGUCACCAUAACAAACCUAACAUAGUUCUUAUUGUAGUUCUUAUUUAGAUAUUUUCGCUUGAUGGAAAAAAUAACGGAUUUAUAAAGUAAACUCAGCAAAAAGAAAUUUAAAAAAAAAAUGUCAUAAAACUUGGUUUUGCAUCAAAGUCACCAUAACAAACCUAAGAGCCCUUGCAACGGGGCAUGACAACGAAUCCGUAAGCCCGGUCCGUUGCACUUUUUGGAUUUUUUAAUUAAUAUAAACCCAGCCCAUUUGACGGAUUGAUCCGUAAAUUGCAUCUUGACGGACCCGGUCCGUGGGCGACGUGGCGGAAAGAGAUUGGACGGAGGCGCGAUUGUGUUUGGUAUUGGCGAGAAAAAAAUCGUCAUUUCGACGAAAGCAAAGAAAAAAAAAGAUAAGGUCAUCCACAUAAGCGCAAAAUAAAGGUGCAGAUUACCAUGAAGCGAAAUGAACAGCAUAGAGACCACUCCAAGGACCCCUGCCAAAAUGAAGUAAGGGCGUCUAUGGUAGCCAAAGAUGGGAAGAACGUCGGUGAGAAUGCCCCAAAGAGGUUUGAUGAUCCAUGGGAUCUUGGUGAUUGCGGUGAGAGCUUGAGACUCAGAGGGCUGAACUUUUUGAACGUCUUUCAUGUAGUACUCUGUUGCUACACGCCCCAUUGAGCCGCCGAGGCCUUGGUUUAUACCGUAGAGUGAGACCACGCCGAAGACAAAGCUCCAGUGAAGCUCUUUGGACAGCAUCUUUAUCCAUCGGACUGGACCACAUAUUACAUUACGGAAACGACUUUCUCCUUUGUCCACGUGGAUGGAUCCGCUGUUCUCGAGGCUUUGGUCUUCUGCUACCAUAACUAGAUUCAAGAUUUGAGGCUUUUGAUGUGGGUUUGGUCUGAAACUGUGGGAAAACAGAUCCAGAACCAGAGUUGACUGAAGUGGAUGUUCUUUGGAUUGGGUUGAGCUCAGAGAAAAAGCAAAUCUAUGCCAAAAUGAUGGGAUCUUUUGAUGUUAGCAAGUCAGAAAACAGAGAUUUGAGAAUCAAAAAUAUUAUAUCUUAGAAAACAAGAAUGAACUUUGCAAACAGGAAGCUCCGUUGACUUGAUUUCAUAUGAACAACAAAUGCUCAUUGAGGAAGAAGAAGAAGAUGGAAAGAAAAUAAAAUGAUUAAAGAAAUGAAACACAGAUGAGAGCGACCUAAGACAUCUCUUACUAAA
rnacentral:lncRNA from 1 species